rnacentral:tRNA from 1 species
CAGGGAGACAACAAAAUGUUUAAUAUUAUUAUUUUGUCACCUUAGGUCGAUCGGUAUCUCACGUUCUUAACUUAUUAAGAAUUUCAUUUCCUAAGUUUUUCUAGGUCACACCCAAAAUUUUUCCUGGGCCAUUAGCUCAGGUGGUUAGAGCGCACCCCUGAUAAGGGUGAGGUCCCUGGUUCAAGUCCAGGAUGGCCCAUACUCUAUGUUGGGGGUAUAGCUCAGUUGGUAGAGCGCCUGCUUUGCAAGCAGGAUGUCAGCGGUUCGAGUCCGCUUACCUCCACUGAUUACCACCUCCUCCAUAAUCUGUAGAAAGGAAAUUUUUUGAGUUGUGAUCAAAGUCUGAACGAAUCUAGCUUCCUAAUGAAAUCAUUAAGAUGCUGGACUCAUUGAAUUAAUUUCAUUGUUUUCAGAGAACCUUGACAACUGCAUAGAUUAUUUUUAAAGACAAUAAGCAUCUUUAAUGAUGCAGAUUUAUUAUUUGUGCGAAUGCAUUAAUAACAAUUCUAUUAAGCUGAUGCUUCAAUUUUGAAGUUAUU